GAUGAACGCUGGCGGCGUGCUUAACACAUGCAAGUCGAACGGUAAGGCCCUUCGGGGUACACGAGUGGCGAACGGGUGAGUAACACGUGGGUGAUCUGCCCUGCACUUCGGGAUAAGCCUGGGAAACUGGGUCUAAUACCGGAUAGGACAACUGCCUGCAUGGGGGGUGGUGGAAAGCUUUUGCGGUGUGGGAUGGGCCCGCGGCCUAUCAGCUUGUUGGUGGGGUGAUGGCCUACCAAGGCGACGACGGGUAGCCGGCCUGAGAGGGUGACCGGCCACACUGGGACUGAGAUACGGCCCAGACUCCUACGGGAGGCAGCAGUGGGGAAUAUUGCACAAUGGGCGCAAGCCUGAUGCAGCGACGCCGCGUGAGGGAUGACGGCCUUCGGGUUGUAAACCUCUUUCAGCAUCGACGAAGCGCAAGUGACGGUAGGUGCAGAAGAAGGACCGGCCAACUACGUGCCAGCCGCCGCAGUAA
rnacentral:rRNA from 1 species